GACGAACGCUGGCGGCGUGCCUAAUACAUGCAAGUUGAGCGCUGAAGGUUGGUACUUGUACCGACUGGAUGAGCAGCGAACGGGUGAGUAACGCGUGGGGAAUCUGCCUUUGAGCGGGGGACAACAUUUGGAAACGAAUGCUAAUACCGCAUAAAAACUUUAAACACAAGUUUUAAGUUUGAAAGAUGCAAUUGCAUCACUCAAAGAUGAUCCCGCGUUGUAUUAGCUAGUUGGUGAGGUAAAGGCUCACCAAGGCGAUGAUACAUAGCCGACCUGAGAGGGUGAUCGGCCACAUUGGGACUGAGACACGGCCCAAACUCCUACGGGAGGGAGCAGUAGGGAAUCUUCGGCAAUGGACGAAAGUCUGACCGAGCAACGCCGCGUGAGUGAAGAAGGGUUUCGGAUCGUAAAACUCUGUUGGUAGAGAAGAACGUUGGUGAGAGUGGAAAGCUCAUCAAGUGACGGUAACUACCCAGAAAGGGACGGCUAACUACGUG
rnacentral:rRNA from 1 species